rnacentral:rRNA from 1 species
CCCUUAGAUGUUCUGGGCCGCACGCGCGCUACACUGAUGCAUUCAACGAGUCUAAAACCUGCUCUGAUAGGGGUGGGUAAUCUUUUGAAUGUGCAUCGUGAUUGGGAUAGAUGAUUGCAAUUUUUCAUCUUCAACGAGGAAUGCCUAGUAAACGCAAGUCAUCAGCUUGCAUUGAUUACGUCCCUGCCCUUUGUACACACCGCCCGUCGCUCCUACCGAUUGAAUGGUCCGGUGAAGUCUUCGGACUGGCAGCAUGUAUGUGCUUGCCGGGAAGUUGAGUAAACCUGACCAUUUAGAGGAAGGUGAAGGCGUAACA